rnacentral:rRNA from 1 species
UACGAAGGGUGCAAGCGUUAAUCGGAAUUACUGGGCGUAAAGGGUGCGUAGGCGGUUCGGUAAGUCUGUCGUGAAAUCCCCGGGCUCAACCUGGGAAUGGCGAUGGAUACUGGCGAGCUAGAGUGUGGCAGAGGAUAGUGGAAUUCCCGGUGUAGUGGUGAAAUGCGUAGAUAUCGGGAGGAACACCAGUGGCGAAGGCGACUAUCUGGGCUGAAACUGACGCUGAGGCGCGAAGGCUAGGGGAGCAAACAGG